UAUAUGGAUAGAGAGCAGCUCUUAAUCGAGGCUUUUAAAGCGAGAUCAUCUCGUGUUUUUGCGACAAGGAGAGUGAUUAACAAAAUGUCGGGGCGUCAAGGUGGAAAGAAAAAACCUCUUAAAGCACCAAAAAAGGACACAAAAGAUUUGGAUGAGGAUGAUGUAGCCUUUAAACAGAAACAAAAAGAAGAAAAGAAGAAGUUGGAGGAAAUGAAGAAAGUUGCAGGGCAGAAGGGACCUCUAAGUGCGGGUGGAAUAAAGAAGUCUGGUAAGAAGUGAAUCAAAAUGACAAGCAGACAUUUAAAGGGAGUUUUGCCAAGAAUUAUCAUCACUCAUUGUAAAAGGAAAUUUGUGCAUAAGAAACUGUAUUUAUAAAUAA